rnacentral:miRNA from 1 species
AGCUUCUUUACAGUGCU